CGCAAUGAUAGGGGAUUGUUAACUUUGUUUUUAUUACUUAGAGGAUUUUAUCUUGUAUAUAAACAUCUACGUGAAUCACAUGGUGACAGUUGAUGGAACCAGUGGGGUAUCAUGAGAUCUACACCCACUACUUACGCUUAAUCAACAGACAGGGAUACAGAGGCUUACAUUUCUUUUGAUAAUUAAAAAAAAGAUUUAUAGUUUUUAGACGGGCA
rnacentral:lncRNA from 1 species